rnacentral:rRNA from 1 species
ACUNCGAUUGCGAAGGCAGCUUGCUGGACUGUAACUGACGCUGAGGCACGAAAGCGUGGGGAUCAAACAGGAUUAGAUACCCUGGUAGNCCACNCNNUAAACGAUGNNUGCUAGCUGUUAGCGAUAUACUGUUAGCGGCACAGAGAAAUCGUUAAGCAUUCCACCUGGGGAGUACGCCGGCAACGGUGAAACUCAAAGGAAUUGACGGGGGCCCGCACAAGCGGAGGAACAUGUGGUUUAAUUCGAUGAUACGCGAGGAACCUUACCUGGGCUUAAAUUGCAGUGGAAUAACGUGGAAACAUGUUAGCCUUCGGGCCGCUGUGAAGGUGCUGCAUGGUUGUCGUCAGCUCGUGCCGUGAGGUGUCGGCUUAAGUGCCAUAACGAGCGCAACCCUCAUCGAUAGUUACUAACAGGUUAAGCUGAGGACUCUAUCGAGACUGCCGACGUAAGUCGUGAGGAAGGUGGGGAUGACGUCAAAUCAGCACGGCCCUUACGUCCAGGGCUACACACGUGUUACAAUGGGGGGUACAAAGGGCAGCUACCUGGCGACAGGAUGCUAAUCUCUAAAACCCUUCUCAGUUCGGAUUGGAGUCUGCAACUCGACUCCAUGAAGCUGGAUUCGCUAGUAAUCGCGCAUCAGCCAUGGCGCGGUGAAUACGUUCCCGGGCCUUGUACACACCGCCCGUCAAGCCAUGGAAGCUGGGGGUACCUGAAGUAUGCAACCGCAAGGAGCGUCCUAGGGUAAAACCGGUAACUGGGGCU